CAGCCGCGCGGUAAUACGAAGGGGGCUAGCGUUGUUCGGAAUUACUGGGCGUAAAGGGCGCGUAGGCGGCCAUUCAAGUUAGAUGUGAAAGCCCUGGGCUCAACCUAGGAAUUGCAUUUGAUACUGUUUGGCUUGAGUUCGGGAGAGGUGAGUGGAAUUCCCAGUGUAGAGGUGAAAUUCGUAGAUACUCGGAAGAACACCAGUGGCGAAGGCGGCUCACUGGACUGGUAUUGACGCUGAGGUGCGAAAGCGUGGGGAGCAAACAGGAUUAGAUACCCCUGUAGUCCCUGUCUCUUAUACC
rnacentral:rRNA from 1 species